CCUACGGGAGGCAGCAGUGGGGAAUAUUGGACAAUGGGCGCAAGCCUGAUCCAGCAAUGCCGCGUGAGUGAUGAAGGCCUUAGGGUCGUAAAGCUCUUUUACCAGGGAUGAUAAUGACAGUACCUGGAGAAUAAGUUCCGGCUAACUCCGUGCCAGCAGCCGCGGUAAUACGGAGGGAGCUAGCGUUGUUCGGAAUUACUGGGCGUAAAGCGUACGUAGGCGGUUAUUCAAGUCAGAGGUGAAAGCCCGGGGCUCAACCCCGGAACGGCCUUUGAAACUAGGUAGCUAGAAUCUUGGAGAGGUCAGUGGAAUUCCGAGUGUAGAGGUGAAAUUCGUAGAUAUUCGGAAGAACACCAGUGGCGAAGGCGACUGACUGGACAAGUAUUGACGCUGAGGUACGAAAGCGUGGGGAGCAAACAGGAUUAGAUACCCUGGUAGUCCACGCCGUAAACGAUGAUAACUAGCUGUUCGGGCACUUGGUGCUUGAGUGGCGCAGCUAACGCAUUAAGUUAUCCGCCUGGGGAGUACGGUCGCAAGAUUAAAACUCAAAGGAAUUGACGG
rnacentral:rRNA from 1 species